GAUGAACGCUGGCGGCGUGCCUAAUACAUGCAAGUCGAGCGAACAGACGAGGAGCUUGCUCCUCUGACGUUAGCGGCGGACGGGUGAGUAACACGUGGAUAACCUACCUAUAAGACUGGGAUAACUUCGGGAAACCGGAGCUAAUACCGGAUAAUAUAUUGAACCGCAUGGUUCAAUAGUGAAAGACGGUUUUGCUGUCACUUAUAGAUGGAUCCGCGCCGCAUUAGCUAGUUGGUAAGGUAACGGCUUACCAAGGCAACGAUGCGUAGCCGACCUGAGAGGGUGAUCGGCCACACUGGAGCUGAGACACGGUCCAGACUCCUACGGGAGGCAGCAGUAGGGAAUCUUCCGCAAUGGUCGAGAGCUUGACGGAGCAACGCCGCGUGAGUGAUGAAGGUCUUCGGAUCGUAAAACUCUGUUAUUAGGGAAGAACAAAUGUGUAAGUAACUAUGCACGUCUUGACGGUACCUAAUCAGAAAGCCACGGCUAACUACGUG
rnacentral:rRNA from 1 species